UGCAAGUCGAACGGUAACAUAGGAGCUUGCUCCUGAUGACGAGUGGCGAACGGGUGCGUAACACGUAUGCAACUUACCUUUAACAGGGGGAUAGCCCAGAGAAAUCUGGAUUAAUACCCCAUAACAUUAUCAUUUCGCAUGUUAUGAUAAUUAAAACUUCGGUGGUUAGAGAUAGGCAUGCGUCCCAUUAGUUAGUUGGUAAGGUAACGGCUUACCAAGACAGCGAUGGGUAGGGGGUCUGAGAGGAUGAUCCCCCACACUGGUACUGAGACACGGACCAGACUCCUACGGGAGGCAGCAGUGAGGAAUAUUGGGCAAUGGACGAAAGUCUGACCCAGCCAUGCCGCGUGCAGGAAGAAUGCCCUAUGGGUUGUAAACUGCUUUUAUAUACCAAGAAACGCAGGUACGUGUACCUGUCUGACGGUAGUAUAUGAAUAAGCACCGGCUAACUCCGUGCCAGCAGCCGCGGUAAUACGGAGGGUGCAAGCGUUAUCCGGAUUUAUUGGGUUUAAAGGGUUCGUAGGCGGGACUUUAAGUCAGUGGUGAAAGCCUAUAGCUCAACUAUAGAAUUGCCAUUGAUACUGAAGUUCUUGAGUACACUUGAAGUUAGCGGAAUGUAUCAUGUAGCGGUGAAAUGCAUAGAUAUGAUACAGAACACCGAUUGCGAAGGCAGCUAACUAAAUUGUCACUGACGCUGAGGAACGAAAGCGUGGGGAGCGAACAGGAUUAGAUACCCUGGUAGUCCACGCUGUAAACGAUGAUCACUCGAUAUUGGCGACACACAGUCAGCGACUAAGCGAAAGUUUUAAGUAAUCCACCUGGGGAGUACGCUCGCAAGAGUGAAACUCAAAGGAAUUGACGGGGGCCCGCACAAGAGGUGGAGCAUGUGGUUUAAUUCGAUGAUACGCGAGGAACCUUACCAGGGCUUAAAUGUAGAACGACAGUUUGGGAAACCAGAUUUUCUUCGGACGGACUACAAGGUGCUGCAUGGUUGUCGUCAGCUCGUGCCGUGAGGUGUCGGGUUAAGUCCUAUAACGAGCGCAACCCCUAUUCUUAGUUGCCAGCGAGUAAUGUCGGGGACUCUAAGAAAACUGCCUGCGUAAGCAGUGAGGAAGGUGGGGAUGACGUCAAAUCAUCACGGCCCUUACGUCCUGGGCCACACACGUGCUACAAUGGUAUAGACAAAGGGCAGCUACCUGGUGACAGGAUGCUAAUCUCUAAACUAUAUCUCAGUUCGGAUUGAAGUCUGCAACUCGACUUCAUGAAGCUGGAAUCGCUAGUAAUCGCGCAUCAGCCAUGGCGCGGUGAAUACGUUCCCGGGCCUUGUACACACCGCCCGUCAAGCCAUGGAAGUUGGGAGUGCCUGAAGUCGGUGACCGUAAGGAGCUGC
rnacentral:rRNA from 1 species